rnacentral:rRNA from 1 species
UACGUAGGGUGCGAGCGUUAAUCGGAUUUACUGGGCGUAAAGCGUGCGCAGGCGGCCCGUUAAGACAGGGGUGAAAUCCCUGGGCUCAACCUAGGAAUUGCGCUUGUGACUGGCGGGCUCGAGUACGGUAGAGGGAGGUGGAAUUCCUGGUGUAGCAGUGAAAUGCGUAGAGAUCAGGAGGAACACCGAUGGCGAAGGCAGCCCCCUGGGCCUGUACUGACGCUCAUGCACGAAAGCGUGGGGAGCAAACAGG